GGCUGGUGUCCUGAGUUCAACUUCCUCUUCAGCUUGGUGAGAGCAGAGGUCCAGAAGAAGCCACUCCACCAACUUCUCUACUGGCUGGAGCAUCUAUCUGCCUCCUACUUCAGGAGUCCGGUGUCCUCCCUUUCUGGCCAGCUCUGAUCUCAGGCCAGAUAAUGUCUUGG
rnacentral:lncRNA from 1 species